UCCUCAGUCUCCUCCCAGUUGUAGAUGC
rnacentral:piRNA from 1 species